AGAUAAUGAAGUAAAAAUUACAUUUAGUUUCGACCUAAAAUUAAGACUUUUAGUCUCUUAUCUA
rnacentral:tRNA from 1 species